CAGGUUUCCCAAAGAUACACUACUUGAUGGAGAUUUGGAUGAUCUACAAGCUGCUGAAGGUUUGCAAGAUCUACUAUUAAGUUGGUGGAGUGAUAAUGUAAUGCGCCUUGUUUGGUGAACCUGGAGACAUUGGCAAGUUCUGCUCAUUUUGGUGGUUGUUUUGGCACAUAGGCCACUAUAUGGCCAUUUUGGUUGCGUGACACAUUUAGAAACAUAUAUACUUCUCCCUUUGUGGAACUACUUCAUUUUGGUUGUGUGGCACGUGUAUCUAGAAACAUUUAUGUACUCUUUUUGUGGCACAAUCUGCUUAUAUACAUUCUUAUGUUAAUGGAAUGAAGUUUAAGGUUUCCGAUGAGACCUAUAUGUUACUUUGAAAUGUAUGUAUAAAUUGUGCGAGGUGCCAUGAUUGCUUAACAUAAUGAAUGGAAAUUAUAUCAGGAAUGCAUACAAUAGUUUGCUAGUGAAAUUGAAGUGCUGGCAUCAUAACUGCCGGGAAAACAUGCAUGUGCAGGCAGCUAAACUGCCGGCAAUUGUAGUUUCAUGUGUCCUGACCAAUCUGUCGAGAGAAAACAACUGCCGCCAAAUCUAAGGGCCAGGGCAGGGAAACUGCCGGGAGAAGUGUAUCUGCCGGGACAAGUAAUCCCCGGCAGCCGUUCUCGUGGCGGUUCUAUCUGCCGGGAGAAUCGCUAUCCCGGCAGAUUGUCUGCCCUUAUAAGUAUGUUCUCCCGGCAGUUUUUCUGUCCUUAUAUCAGUGUUGUGGUGUAGUGGGAGUAGGGAUGACCUACCCUCGGGCGGGCAGCCUGUGUGAAAUAUCAGCGGUCAGGUAUCUGGUCUCCCUCAACUUUUUGAUGUCCUCCUCCGUGACAGAGGAAGGCAUCCACCGGCCCUAGGGGCUGGAUCCGGACAUGAUUGGAGAUCUGAAGCACCUGACCUGGGCUUUGGGUGUUAGAACUCGAGGCGGGGGAAGGAUUCAAUUGAGCACGGGAGGGAAAAAGUAAAAGCCUUGUCCCUUUAUAAAGAGGGUGAAUAUCAAGCGUCCUCCUCGUAGCCGUUUGGGACUUGCCUAAAUUCUAGGAGUCCUAGGCGCGGUUGGGUUACCCAUGACUGUAUUGAUGUGAAUCCCGAAAUAAGGGGGACACGAUCUCUGCUUUGACAAGACGUGUCAAGAAACUGCCUCGCGUUAUGAGCGGGGCUAGUUAAAUAAAAACGGUUCAAAUAAUCGCCGAGCCAUGGCAUCAUGUCAUGUUGCCAAAACAUGUCAGCAGAUUAGAUUUGUGGAAAUAUUAUUCUCUCUAUGGUGGUACAUGGGUAAAACAUCGUGUCCCCUGCCUCCUGUUACCAUCCGCCUUAGACGCAUAGUUCGGGACCCCCUACCCGAGAUCCAUCGGUUUUGACACCGACAAUGGGUUUGAACCCGUCUGGGAAUUCAUGCUCCAUUACUUCAUUUGUGAAGCAAAGAGGGUGUGUGGCGCUUCUAUGUUCGGCCACACUGCGGCGUACCUCUAACGGAGUCCAUUUGCGGUUUUCAGCCGGGCGUGGCUAGGUUUGUCACGUCCGAAUAGGUGGCCGUCGUCGCGUGUCGAGGUGUGUCCUUGCGAUCCGUAGAUCGCUCUUGGGUGUCCUAUUUUACUACCCCAGCCUUGCUGAAGGUUGUAUGUACAACCUUGAGCGGUUUUGUUCCUGCCUUUACGGUGAGGUGGGGCGGUCUGUUGUUCGGCUUGAGUUGCCGCUUGAACCAGACCAAGUUGUGGUUGGCCUACCGCAUUGUGCGAUGAUCGUACGGGCUCGAGCGCCUUAUCGUCGCCCUGGGUUGCGAUCUAUGCUUCGGGUAGAUUUUAGCUGGGCCACCAAGGCCGUAUUGUUUGGCGGCUAGGACUUCGAUCAAUCUAUCAUUAAGCAGAUCUUCGUCAGCUUGAAGCUAUUGUUGCUUCUUCUUCAGGCUCCUUGAAGUGGCUAUUAGUUGGCGCUUUAAGCACUCCUGCUCACGAGGUUCCUCAGGCACCAUGAAAUCCUCGGCGCCGAGGCUCACCUCAUCCUCAGAGAGCGGAAGGUAAUUGUCNNNNNNNNNNCUUUUUACUGUUUUGUUACUAUAACUGGAAUGGAAUGGGCUGUGUACGUUAGCCUGAUUCAAAUCCUUUUCAUCUCCAAUGAACGAUCUGUGUACAACAUCAGCCUUCAUUCAAACUCCAUUUACUGAAUAAUUUCACAGCGUGUUCUGCUACAGCCAACGCCCAACAGCAAGGCAAACAAAGAAGGCAUUAAAACACUUGUCCUUAUGUGAUGUAAAAAUUGCAUUUUAUUGUGCUUCCAGUACUAGUUGCAUGUUCACGUAUGUUACAACAGGUUUAUUAAGCUAUGAGAGCUCCAUUUUGAGUUUCCGUUCUGUUGCAGGUUUCCCAAAGAUACACUACUUGAUGGAGAUUUGGAUGAUCUACAAGCUGCUGAAGGUUUGCAAGAUCUACUAUUAAGUUGGUGGAGUGAUAAUGUAAUGCGCCUUGUUUGGUGAACCUGGAGACAUUGGCAAGUUCUGCUCAUUUUGGUGGUUGUUUUGGCACAUAGGCCACUAUAUGGCCAUUUUGGUUGCGUGACACAUUUAGAAACAUAUAUACUUCUCCCUUUGUGGAACUACUUCAUUUUGGUUGUGUGGCACGUGUAUCUAGAAACAUUUAUGUACUCUUUUUGUGGCACAAUCUGCUUAUAUACAUUCUUAUGUUAAUGGAAUGAAGUUUAAGGUUUCCGAUGAGACCUAUAUGUUACUUUGAAAUGUAUGUAUAAAUUGUGCGAG
rnacentral:lncRNA from 1 species